ensembl:lncRNA novel transcript
GCAUUAAGGUUCCUCAUCAGCAUAACAGACAAAAUACCUAUCUUAAUAAAGGGUUGGAGGCCAGAUGCAGUCAUUUAGCUCUGUUAUCCCAGCUACUCUGGAGGCUGCGACAUGAGAAUUGCUUGAACCUGGGAGUAGCUGGGAGUACAGGCACGCGCCACCACGCCCAGCUAAUUUUUUUAUUUUUAGUAGAGACAGGGUUUCACCAUGUUGGCCAGGCUGGUCUCGAAUCCUGGCCUCAAGUGAUCCACCUGCCUUGGCCUCCCAAAGUGUUGGGAUUACAGGUGUGAUACAGGUGUGAGCCACUGCACCCGGCCAGAAGAUAGGGUCAAACAUCAAAAACAGCAAGGUCUGAUCUGAUGCGAAAAAUCUCUGAAGCAUUCCGGUUGUUUGUUAAUAUAUAAAUGAAGCACCUAUAAAAUGAUGGAUGUUGUC